rnacentral:rRNA from 1 species
GUCGAUAGGCCAGAGAUGUAAGUGCAGCAAUGCAUUCAGUUGACUGGUACUAAUUGCCCGAUAGGCUUGAUUUG